rnacentral:rRNA from 1 species
CGUACACACGUACUACAAUGGCUAAAUACAAAGAGAAGCGAGACGGAGACGUUAAGCGAAACCCAAAAAAGUAAGUCUCAGUUCGGAUUGAAGGCUGAAAUUCGCCUUCAUGAAGCCGGAAUUGCUAGUAAUCGCGGAUCAGAAUGCCGCGGUGAAUGCGUUCCCGGGUCUUGUACACACCGCCCGUCACACCAUGGAAGUUGGGGGCGCCCGAAGUUGCCUAAGAAAUAAGGUACCUAAGGCGAAACCAAUGACUGGGGUGAAGUCGUAACAAGGUAAC